UUCCCCUCUUUCACCAACUGAAACAGAGUUUGAAUGAAAUCUGUGUCCUAGUAAAAUCUGACAAGAAAAGUAGGACAUAGUGAAAAGAAAGUCUCACAACUGGAUCUAGAAAUUUUACUUACAUGGGUGUAGGGAUAUUUAAUGUCAUUAGGCCUUCUCACUCUCACAUUUUUUUCCUCCAGAGGAAUCUAUUGCCAGGCAACUGGAAGGUAUGAACCCCACGAUGAACAACCUUUGCUUCUGUGGUAACCUUCACUGGCUCCUUCUCUGCAGAGCAGGGGGAAGAACCUACAUCCAGUGACUGACAGAAGCAGAUUUGGUGAUAUACAGCCAAACACUGAGCUGAGCUCCUGGAAUUCAGUUGAUGAGAGGAGGAAUGAUCAUACGGACAAGAGUGUUCUGCGACCACAGCCUAGCAGAAGCUUCAUCAGAGACCAGAAAGACUUCAUCCAUCAGCUGAUGGGAGGAGAUGCAGAGUCCUACAGUCAGGCAUGAGGUGGAGCUUUGGCCAUGCUGCUGAGGAGGAGAAGAAAGGAUUACAGGAACCAGAGGGGUCAGGAACACCAUGAGAACAUGGCCCACAAAAUCAGUCGAUCAGGAAUCAUGGGGACUCACAGACAUCAGAGAGCCUAUAAUGGUCUGAUUGAUGUCCUCUGCAUAUAUGUUAAGGCUGAGUAGCUUGGUGUCCUUGUGGGAUUCCUAAAAGUAGGAGCUGGGGUGUUCACUGAUUGUUUUGCAUACUUAUGGGACCCUUUUCCUCCUACUGGGUUACCUUGUACAGCUUUGGUGUGAUGGUAUGUUCCUGGUCUUAUUGUAGCAUACCAUGCAGUAUUUAGUUGAUGUCCCUGGGUGGCCUGCUCUUUUCCGAGGGGAGGGAGGUGGGUCUGGGUAAGAGGAAAGGUUGGAGGAAGAGACUUGGGGCAGACAAGGGAGGGGAAAGUGUGGUAGGGGUGUAAUUCAUGAGAGAAGAAUAAAAAUGUAGUGUUAUUUCCUAUCUAUAGAAGUAAAAAUUGACUGGUAACACAUUUGAUUAACACUCAGAGUAGAAGAAUUCUGUACUGCUAGUGGGAAUGCAGAUUAGUACAAGCAAUUUAGAAAGCAAUUUUCUAAUUCCUAAGGAAGUUGAAAAUGUAUGUAUACUAUGAGCCAGAAAUCUUUCUUUUUUCUGGUGAAUCUUUGGUGGGAACACACAAGUGACACAUAUAUGUGGGUUCAUUUUAGCACUGUAGUUAUCAAAGCAGGAAAAUGGAUAGAUAGCUACAUAAUGGGUUAUCCAUUCAGUGGCAUCCUAUUACAACAAAUCACCUAUAUUUGUAAGCAAUACUGAAGAAGACAUGAUCAAAGGAAAUUAAGGAUCUCCAAGCAACGGAGAAUUCAAGUCAUCUAAAGUGGGAAUCAUGACAUGCUGAAAAGGCAAUACUGAGUGCUAGUGGUGUGUGUGUGUGUUUGUGUGUGUGUGUGU